UGGGGAAUAUUGCACAAUGGGGGAAACCCUGAUGCAGCGACGCCGCGUGAACGAAGAAGGUAUUCGUAUCGUAAAGUUCUGUCCUAUGGGAAGAUAAUGACAGUACCAUAGAAGAAAGCUCCGGCUAAAUACGUGCCAGCAGCCGCGGUAAUACGUAUGGAGCGAGCGUUGUCCGGAAUUAUUGGGCGUAAAGGGUACGCAGGCGGUUUAAUAAGUCGAAUGUUAAAGAUCGGGGCUCAACCCCGUAAAGCAUUGGAAACUGAUAAACUUGAGUAGUGGAGAGGAAAGUGGAAUUCCUAGUGUAGUGGUGAAAUACGUAGAUAUUAGGAGGAAUACCAGUAGCGAAGGCGACUUUCUGGACACAAACUGACGCUGAGGUACGAAA
rnacentral:rRNA from 1 species